GUCCAUAUCGACGGGAUGGUUUGGCACCUCGAUGUCGGCUCGUCGCAUCCUGGGGCUGGAGUAGGUCCCAAGGGUUGGGCUGUUCGCCCAUUAAAGCGGCACGCGAGCUGGGUUUAGAACGUCGUGAGACAGUUCGGUCUCUAUCCGCCGCGCGCGUCAGAAACUUGAGGAAGGCUGUCCCUAGUACGAGAGGACCGGGACGGACGAACCUCUGGUGUGCCAGUUGUUCCACCAGGAGCACCGCUGGUUAGCUACGUUCGGAAGGGAUAACCGCUGAAAGCAUCUAAGCGGGAAGCCUGUUCCAAGAUGAGGUUUCUCACCCCCUUUGUGGGGGUAAGGCCCCCGGCAGACCACCGGGUUGAUAGGCCAGAACUGGAAGUGCAGUAAUGCAUGCAGGUGACUGGUACUAAUAGGCCGAGGACUUACCACAA
rnacentral:rRNA from 1 species